rnacentral:sRNA from 1 species
AACUCAGAGACAUCCUGAAGGAGCAC